UAGACGAGAAGACCCCGUCGAGCUUGAUUUAUUUCAAAUUGUUAUAAUUUGAAAGAACUUUUGUUGGGGCAACAACGGAGAAUAACCUCCGUUAAUUAUGCAAAGAUCCAUAUAUUAUGACAAAAGGAAAAAGUUACCGCGGGGAUAACAGCGCAAGAUUGCUUUAGAGAUCUUAUUGAAGGCAGUAAUUGCGACCUCGAUGUUG
rnacentral:rRNA from 1 species